UCUAUGGCCCACCUGAACACUCUCAAUCUCAUCUGAUCUCGAAUGCUAAGCAAGGUCGGGCCUAGUUAGUACUUGGAUGAGAGAAAGAGAGACAGAU
ensembl:rRNA 5S_rRNA 5S ribosomal RNA